ACGACAAAGAGGACGAGAACAGGAGUUAAGAUGUGCAGCGUGCAGGUACCGGCUCAGCAAGGGGAGUGGGAAUAUCGUGUACUAUCACCCGUGCCAAUAAAGAAAAUAAACUGAAAGAAGUUAUGGAAACAUUGUUAGAAAUCAAGGAACAGAGAAAAAUUAUGUGCUUGAACAGUGUGAGAGAAAGAGACAGUGAUAUAAAGUGAUGAAGUAGGAAGAAUGGGCAACAUAAAUCAUGACCUCAGAAAGGAGGUUUCCAGGUUCAUACUGAACAUGUCCCACAGUAGACCCAAAGGCAAAGAAGACGAGAUGCUCUCCACACCAAAUGGCUGUACUGUUGCUUGCCAUUAUCAUGUGUGUGACUCUACACAGGAAAAAGCCUUGGAGGAACUUCAGGAAAGGUAAGUUUUUUCAGUUAUAAAAGCAUUCAGAUUUUGAGAUUUAGAAUUAUGAUCCUGGU
rnacentral:lncRNA from 1 species